AGAAUUCGGCUUACGGGCCGCAGCAGGCGCGAAAACUUUACAAUGCGGGAAACCGUGAUAAGGGGACACCGAGUGCCAGCAUCAUAUGCUGGCUGUCCGGGUGUGUAAAAUACACCCGUUAGCAAGGGCCGGGCAAGACCGGUGCCAGCCGCCGCGGUAACACCGGCGGCCCGAGUGGUGAUCGUGAUUAUUGGGUCUAAAGGGUCCGUAGCCGGUUUGGUCAGUCCUCCGGGAAAUCUGAUGGCUCAACCAUUAGGCUUUCGGGGGAUACUGCCAGGCUUGGAACCGGGAGAGGUAAGAGGUACUACAGGGGUAGGAGUGAAAUCUUGUAAUCCCUGUGGGACCACCUGUGGCGAAGGCGUCUUACCAGAACGGGUUCGACGGUGAGGGACGAAAGCUGGGGGCACGAACCGGAUUAGAUACCCGGGUAGUCCCAGCCGUAAACGAUGCUCGCUAGGUGUCAGGCAUGGCGCGACCGUGUCUGGUGCCGCAGGGAAGCCGUGAAGCGAGCCACCUGGGAAGUACGGCCGCAAGGCUGAAACUUAAAGGAAUUGGCGGGGGAGCACAAGCCGAAUUC
rnacentral:rRNA from 1 species